CACGUAGGGCGCAAGCGUUGUCCGGAAUUAUUGGGCGUAAAGAGCUCGUAGGCGGUCUGUUGCGUCCGCUGUGAAAACUCGGGGCUUAACCCCGAGCCUGCAGUGGAUACGGGCAGACUAGAGGUAGGUAGGGGAGAAUGGAAUUCCCGGUGUAGCGGUGAGAUGCGCAGAUAUCGGGAAGAACACCGGUGGCGAAGGCGGUUCUCUGGAACGCAACUGACGCUGAGACGCGAAAGCGUGGGGAGCAAACAGG
rnacentral:rRNA from 1 species